CACAGUGUUCCCUCUAAUUUUUUCCAUCCAUGUGGGGAAUAAAUUUUGUUAUGUGCACUGAGGUAUGUGUGGAUGUGCGCCACCGGUAGAAACAAAAAACCUAGGUAUAAUAUAUAUUUUUAAAAAGUGGCCAUCGGGAUAAUUACUCCAGCCAGAACAGAUUAAGCAUUUUAGAACUCACUACUCAAAGAAUUCAAUUUAAGUGUAAGAGAAAUAAAAAUUAUGAAAUGCAUAGACCAGUCAAAGCACUAAAAUAACACACUUCAAAAGAAUAAAAUUACAGAUAAUAUGUGUGCAUUGCAGGAAAUACCAAGAAGUAACAACAACAAUAAUACAAGUAUGUGUUGGAAGGUGAGUGUAAGACAGAGAAACA